AGCUUCACAACUCCCCAUCCGUCACUUUUAUCCCUGGUCUUAGUUUUGUAAAUAUAGCAACUGUCUCUACCUACGCUAUUUUACAAACCGACCAAGCCCAGCUUGGCCAAUUUUCUACGAUUGAAAAUCUGAGCCAAGGAGGGCAUGCUGGCGGAACUCCAGAUAACGUUCUGAAAUCAAGAGGAUCUGGGAUUGACGGAAGAAAGGAGGAAGACAGCCUGAGUGUCUGAAUGACUGAACUACUUGAGGGCCUUAAGCAGCAGAGUCUUCUGUUACCCUGAAAGGCAGAGGCUCAGCGGAAGAUCACAGCAACUACAAACACACACAGGCAGUGCCUUGCUUUCAUCUGUCUCAGUGAACAACUCAUACUUUUGCAAUCCUGUUUUGGGUGGUCUUGAGGAAAGCAGACUUGUAGAAGCUUACAAUUGUCCGCUUACGUGCCUUUCUCUUCUAAUCAAUAAAGGCUCUUUAAUUAAAGGA